GCCAGGAAACCGAGAACGGAAUGCCAAUACUGCUUAGGCUUAGAAUUUGAAAGGCAUCUGAUUUCACUGCCAUGUCUUUGAAAAGCAGUGCACAGUGCAGUCUUCUUCGUGGCUGAACAGCCACUCUAUGUCUUUUGAUUGGAGAGUUUAAUCAAACAGAAGGAGUCUUCCAUUGUGGCCACCACAGCUGGGAAUGAGCUAAGGUCUUGCUAUGUUGCCUAGACUGGUUUUGAACUCCUGGGCUGAAGCAAUCCUCCCACUUCGGCCUCUCAAAGUGCUGGGAUAUCAGACAUGAGCCACCUGCCAUGCUUGGCCUAUAAUCAUGAAAAGAUCAACCCCAAGAAAGAAAAGGAAACAUGGAAGGACCUGGACUGGAGUCACACCAGUACAAGGAGGAUGCUGGCAAAGAUGAGACUAGUCAAGUGGAGCAGUGGGAGUGAAGAUGGAAUAAAGAAAUCCAUAACUGGUUGUGAUUAAGUAGUUGUAAACACCAACUGCACUCAGACCAACCCAUAUAUAUAUUUUUAAUUGUAAGCAUAGUAUAUAUAAAGCUUCAAUUCCUGCUUUUUUUUUACCUAACAUUAUAUCAUAUGCAUUUUCCAUACUGUUUCACAAUUCCUUGUAUUCGUAAUUGUUUAAUCCUGCAAAAUAAUGCUUCGAAUGAACAUAUGAUCAUUUCCUUAAGUAUUCCCCUACUAUUAGAAGUGAAGUUUCUUCCAGCAUUUUUCUCUUUGCUGUGAUGAAUAUUUUUAGGUAUAGAGAUUUUUCAGUUUGGUAAUGAGUUUUUGAAAAUCUACUUUACCAAAAACAAAGAAAACCCAUGUCUUUCUUUAGUACCUUUGCCAAGAUAUUACUUUUACUUGACGUUCAACAAGUAUAGGAUGAAAGUACACAAGUCUGCAAGGGACCUUGGAAGUAACUUGUUUCUGUCUAAUUUCUAUAUAAUUUCCAGGAGAUAGUCAUACAGCUUUAAUUUGAUCACAUCCACUAGUUUUGGCAUUGGUAUUGCCAUAUUGAUUAUGGACACAUAAAACUGUAACUCCUGGAGCCAACCUCUCAGGCUUUCCUACAUGAAACCAAUGCCACCAUCCCACCCGCACUCUAGCACCUUCUAUCCACUGAUUUUAGUCAUUGACUUGCUCUCUUCCUCUUUCUGUUUGUCGUCUUCCAGUUUGUCUCUUUCAUUCCUCCCCUCCCUUCUCUAUCCUGCUCUCUGACCCAAGAGGCUGACCUGUAUGAACCACAUCAGUGAUUGGCUGGUGGGGCCCCCCAGCAAAGAGGAUGGAGUGAAGUGAGGGUAUUUACUUGCUUAAUUGCCUCCAGGCUGGGUCACUCACAGCUGGCCAUGUCCUUCCAUCAAAGAUCAGAGCUCUCCUCAAGGUAGCCCUCUCCACAAACUUUCUUGAGUUUCUCUUUCUGGGUUUUGUUAACCAUUUUCUCAACUUGUCCCUUCAUGCCUAGAGGUAAUAGCAGGCGGGGAAUGCUGUGCUAUUCCAUUUGGUUUUCCUGCACCCUUCCCACGUUUGUAUGUAGUCUCUUUCAUCAAAGUACUGGGACUGUCCUAAUUCAAAUGUGCCAUCUGUUUUGUUUCCUGCUAAGAACUGUUCAACUCACUCUGGAUACACUCAAUAAAUAUAACUCAGACUGUCACAAUA
rnacentral:lncRNA from 1 species